rnacentral:rRNA from 1 species
GUGUCAGCAGCCGCGGUAAGACAGAGGAGCCAAGCGUUGUCCGGACUGACUGGGCGUAAAGCGCCCGCAGGCGGCCGUGCACGUGGGGUGUGAAAGCCCUCUGCUCAACGGAGGGAGGCCAUCCCAUACGGCGCGGCUCGAGCCGUCCAGAGGCCGGUGGAAUUGCCGGUGUAGUGGUGAAAUGCGUAGAGAUCGGCAGGAACACCCAGGGGGAAACCAGCCGGCUGGGGACGGGCUGACGCUCAGGGGCGAAAGCGUGGGGAGCGAACCGGAUUAGAAACCCCUGUAGUCC